rnacentral:lncRNA from 1 species
AUGUCAAGAUCUGGGCCUCUGAUAUUUUGUAUUGUAUCUGAGACCGAGUUAACUGAUAAAACCCUGGACUCUAAUGUUGCUAUGGAUGGUUACAAUGUGUUUAGGGCUGGUAGGAAAGGCAACGGUGGUGGUGUUACUAUGGAUGGUUACAAUGUGUUUAGGGCUGGUAGGAAAGGCAACGGUGGUGGUGUUUCUAUGGAUGGUUACAAUGUGUGUAGGGCUGGUAGGAAAGGCAACGGUGGUGGUGUUUCUAUGGAUGGUUACAAUGUGUUUAGGGCUGGUAGGAAAGGCAACGGUGGUGGUGUUUCUAUGGAUGGUUACAAUGUGUUUAGGGCUGGUAGGAAAGGUAACGGUGGUGGUGUUUCUAUGGAUGGUUACAAUGUGUUUAGGGCUGGUAGGAAAGGCAACGGUGGUGGUGUUUCUAUGGAUGGUUACAAAGUGUUUAGGGUUGGUAGGAAAGGCAACGGUGGUGGUGUUACUAUGGAUGGUUACAAUGUGUUUAGGGCUGGUAGGAAAGGCAACGGUGGUGGUGUUUCUAUGGAUGGUUACAAUGUGUUUAGGGCUGGUAGGAAAGGCAACGGUGGUGGUGUUUCUAUGGAUGGUUACAAUGUGUUUAGGGCUGGUAGGAAAGGCAACGGUGGUGGUGUUACUAUGGAUGGUUACAAUGUGUUUAGGGCUGGUAGGAAAGGCAACGGUGGUGGUGUUACUAUGGAUGGUUACAAUGUGUUUAGGGCUGGUAGGAAAGGCAACGGUUGUGGUGUUUCUAUGGAUGGUUACAAUGUGUUUAGGGCUGGUAGGAAAGGCAACGGUGGUGGUGUUUCUAUGGAUGGUUACAAUGUGUUUAGGGCUGGUAGGAAAGGCAACGGUGGUGGUGUUUCUAUGGAUGGUUACAAUGUGUUUAGGGCUGGUAGGAAAGGCAACGGUGGUGGUGUUUCUAUGGAUGGUUACAAUGUGUUUAGGGCUGGUAGGAAAGGCAACGGUGGUGGUGUUGCUAUUUACACAAGGAAUCUUCUUUCUGUGUCUCUGUUAAAGGCCACCUCCAGUCCUAAACUAUUAUACUUGUUGGCUUUAAGUCUUCAGUUGUGUUCAAAGUCAAGAAUAACAGUUAUAGGAAUCUACCGUCUACCUUCCGCCAAGAAGUGUGUACUAAACAAACUCCCUGAUUUAAUUACCAUUUUUAUUACCCCAGAGGUGUUGAUCGCUGGAUAUUUUAAUCUUGCAUGGAUGCUGGAAGCUGACUGCCUACAUAACUGUUGUACUAAUCUAAAUUUGACCCAGCUGAUUACAAAGCCCACUCGUCCAAACUUAAAGGACUCUAUGAAAUCGACUUUGAUUGACCUCAUAUUUACAAAUACUCCAGAGUAA